CAGUAGCCGCGGUAAUACGAAGGGUGCAAGCGUUAAUCGGAAUUACUGGGCGUAAAGCGUGCGUAGGCGGUUUGUUAAGUCUGUUGUGAAAUCCCCGGGCUCAACCUGGGAAUGGCAAUGGAUACUGGCAAGCUAGAGUGUGUCAGAGGAUGGUGGAAUUCCCGGUGUAGCGGUGAAAUGCGUAGAGAUCGGGAGGAACAUCAGUGGUGAAGGCGGCCAUCUGGGACAACACUGACGCUGAGGCACGAAAGCGUGGGGAGCAAACAGGAUUAGAUACCCCCGUAGUCCCUGUCUCUUAUAC
rnacentral:rRNA from 1 species